AUGGUUCCCCUCUGGUUCUUGAUGGCCAUGCUGGCCCCUGUGGCAUGGACUCUGGAACAGCCCCCAGACACAGUGGUACGACAAGACCAGUCUGUAAGUUUGAGCUGUUCCCAGAGGAAAUCCUCCAGCACAGCUAUGUACUGGUACAAGAUGCCAUUGGGGAAGGACUCCAGGAUGAUCCUAGUGGCUUCUGCAAUAGUAAGUAGUAAAGCAGAUAUUGAGGAGGACUUCCGAAGCCAUUUCAAGAGCAAUGGGAUACAAGGUGACAAAAUGACCCUCUUGAUAGAUCAUGCCUUUCUCAAUGACUCUGGCACGUAUUACUGUGCUGAAAGUGAAGUAAUUGGGAGAGACAAACUGCACUUUGGCAGUGGGACAAAACUCACAGUUCUAGGGAAGGACGAGGAAAUCAUACCUCCAGCUGUGGCUAUUUUUUCCCCAUCAAAGCAAGAGAUCCAACAGAAGAGCAAGGCCACACUGGUGUGCCUGGCCUCUGCUUUCUACCCCGACCACCUGAAUCUGGUUUGGAAGGUGAAUGGUGCUCUGAGGACAGAAGGGGUGGGGACAGAUGAGUUUUCCACAUGGGAUGGGAGUACCUACUCCUUGACAAGCCGACUGAGGAUCUCAGCCCAGGAAUGGUUCAACCCUCUGAACCGUUUUGAGUGCUCUGCCGAUUUUUUUAAGAAUGAAACUCUGGAAUCGAUACACAAAUUCAUCUACGGUGAUGUUGGAUGUGCACUCACAGAAGAGUCCUACUUGUGGUCUGGAAAUUCUCUGAAGCUGACUUACCUCAUUCUCUGCGGCAAAGCUUUGCUCUAUGCAGUUUUGGUGAGCAGCAUGAUGUGGAAAGCCAAGGAGAAGACACGAGGGAUCUAG